GAACUGCGAUAAGUCAUGUGAAUUGCAGAAUUCCGUGAAUCAUCGAAAUCUUGAACGCAAAUUGCAUUCUGGUGUUGAGCCAGAGUGUGCCUGCUCGAGUGUCGUCAAUAAAUACUCCUUCAAUAAGCUCUUUUGCUUAUUGAAUGUGUUUGAAAGUUCAUUUCAACGAUGAUCUUUUAAAAUGAAUGGUGUAUAAUUUGUGUAAUGAAGUAUGAUACUCUGGUAUCGUUUCCUUACGAACAAAUUAUCGAAUGAACUAAGUAAUACUCUUACUCAUCAUUUGAUAUGUUUCGUUCUGAUAUCGUUACCUUUCAUAUGUUCGACAUGAAUGAAAGCCUUGUUUACUCUUUCUCUAACAGAAAGUUUGUCGUAAACAAUUUUCAAAACCUCGACCUCGAUU
rnacentral:misc_RNA from 1 species